rnacentral:rRNA from 1 species
CCCUUAGAUGUUCUGGGCCGCACACGCGCUACACUGAAGGAGGCAGCGUGUACUCCUGGAUCGAAAGAUUUGGGUAACCCGCGAAUCUCCUUCGUGCUAGGGAUUGAGGUUUGCAAUUAUCCUUCAUGAACGAGGAAUUCCCAGUAAGUGCAAGUCAUAAGCUUGCGCUGACUACGUCCCUGCCCUUUGUACACACCGCCCGUCGCUACUACCGAUUGAAUGAUUUAGAGAGGACUUCGGACUGGGACCGAUGCGGCUUUCGGGCUGCGUCGGUAUUCUGGAAAGAUGUCCAAACUGUAUCAUUUAGAGGAAGUAAAAGUCGUAACA